AGUGCGAAUGACCCUGUAAUUUUUGGUGUUAGCCAUGGGCCACUAGCGAGUAGCGAGUAGCGAGUAGUGUUGUGUGUGGAGACUGGAGACUAAUAACUUGGAUAUUAAACCCUCCUAAAAUCUCAGCCCUUCCUAGAUUUGCCACGUCCAAGCCGCUUCUGACUAGUUCCCAUCCGCAAACAAAAAGAGUCAAUAUGUGAUAUUCAUUCAUCUUCUUCCUUCCUUCAAAUCACUGAUGAGUGUUUAUUCAACACCCAUUUUGAUUCUUGUUUUUUCCCUUCACCCAUUUACUAUCUGCUGUCAAUAUGCCUGCUUCAAAGAGUUCAGGAAACAUAAAGCUUAGGAAAAAACUAAAACUUGCUAAUUGUAUAUCCAAAGAUGAUAAGAAGACCCUAGAUUCCAAUGGAAAAGGAGCUAACAAAGCACAACAAAAUAGGGAGCAAGUUUAUGAGGGAGUAGUGAAUGGUAAGUCUGGUGGGAAAAGGAAGAGAGUUUAUGCUCAUCGAGAUAUGGACAACAGUGUUGGAAGAAGGUACUUAUUGAAAGAAGAAGGUAAAAUGGUUUUGGAGGCGCAAGAAAAGUUUUCUAGAAAGAAUGCUUUAUAUGGUGAAGGUAGAAGGUCGCUGUCUAAUGAGAGAAAAUCUAGGAACGUGAAAGUGGAUGGCUAUGGGGAAGAAGAAAAUGUUAAAAGAAAGACAUUGGACCAGAGUGGGAGCAACCAAAAAUCUCCUAGAAGAUCUUCCACAAAGAACAACUUGCAAAGGCCAAAGAAGAAAAAGCGAGUCAUUCGAAUAGAUCCUCAUGAUACCUCAAACAAGAGGCUUGAUGAUGGACUGCCAAGUAAAGAUAACAAUAAGGAAAAGCAAGAAGAGUCAGCAAAACAGAAAACUGUUGAACUGUCAAAGAACGCACAAUUUCGUUCAAUAUGCCCCAGUCCAUCUAUCCUUUCUUUUGUGGAAGACAACUUGUUGGGUCGUAGACGUGAUAUUCAGUUAAAGAGGGCAGGCUAUAACAUUGAACUCUCUGCUCCUUUAGAUAACAUUCCUUUCUCAACAAGCUCAGAAAGGAAGCGGAUUGAAGGGCCGGUGUUCAGGAAUAAGUUGGAAUUUUUUGCUGCAGCUAAGGUUUUGUCGUCAUUUCCCCCUGCAGAUCUUCCAGAGAUUGCUUUUGCAGGAAGGUCAAACGUGGGAAAGUCAUCUUUACUAAAUGCAUUGACCAGGCAAUGGGGUGUUGUACGGACAUCAGAUAAGCCUGGCCUCACUCAGACUAUUAACUUCUUCAAGCUUGGUUCAAAAAUGUGCUUGGUUGAUUUGCCGGGAUAUGGUUUUGCUUAUGCCAAAGAAGAAGUGAAAGAAGCUUGGGAGGAGCUUGUGAAAGAGUAUGUUUCUACACGUCUUGGUCUAAAGAGAGUCUGCCUUCUGAUUGAUACAAAGUGGGGCAUGAAACAGGCGGAUCAUGAGCUCAUUAAUUUAAUGGAGAGAGCUCAAACAAAAUACCAGAUCAUUUUAACCAAGACAGACACGGUUUUCCCAAUAGAUGUGGCACGACGAGCCAUGCAAAUUGAAGAGAGCCUCAAGGCAAACAAGUCUGUUGUUCAGCCUGCGGUGAUGGUAAGCUCAAAAUCUGGAGCUGGUAUCCGAAGUUUAAGAACAGUGCUUGCUAAGAUCGCUCGGUUUGUGAAACCGUAAAUGGAGUAUUCAUCUUCUUUUGAUAUUCUUGUCUUAUCUAUGGUGUUUCAUUCAGCAAACAGACACUAUAGCCGCUCCGGUGAAAAAUAAGGAUUUUCCUUUCAAUGUUCCAUGGUUCUGAAGAUGGAAGUAUUUAGAUAAAGUUUAAAUGUUCUUUCUCGCUGAAUGGGUAUGUGAUUUGUUGUUGAUAGUUGCUUUGACCAGCAACCAUCUCUAUAUAAAUCGUCGUUUAGAGUAAUGCAGAUCACCUGCCACUAUCAGCAAGAAAUCAAUAUAUCCACGGAUGGUAUAAGAUAAAAUAUGUAGUUUUCUCUUGAUUGGUGAUGGAUGGUGGCUGUUGCAAAUGCGCAUUCCUGGUAACAUGUUUUCUGCAUGAGCGUCAACUUGGCCAUGUCACAGAACAAGACACUUUUAAAGUCUAGCAUUUUUUUAUGUGAAUUGUUGUUGCUCAGUGCUGCCCUUUGAAUAGUCUACUGAAAAUCAUUCUAUUUAUUUGUUUCCGAUAUUCAGUCUCCUAACGAUAGUGGGCACCUUUUCGUUUAGGGUCCUAAAUGGUUGUGAGGUUCUGUAGCUAUGUAAAUUCAUUGACAAUGAAGUUGGUUGACUGGUUCUAAUUUUAAAAUGCCUAGAUUCUACCGA